rnacentral:rRNA from 1 species
CACGUAGUUGGCCGGUGCUUCUUCUACAGGUACCGCCACUUGCGCUUCGUCCCUGUCGAAAGAGGUUUACAACCCGAAGGCCGUCAUCCCUCACGCGGCGUCGCUGCAUCAGGCUUUCGCCCAUUGUGCAAUAUUCCCCACUGCUGCCUCCCGUAGGAGUCUGGGCCGUGUCUCAGUCCCAGUGUGGCCGGUCGCCCUCUCAGGCCGGCUACCCGUCGUCGCCUUGGUAGGCCAUUACCCCACAACAAGCUGAUAGGCCGCGGGCCCAUCCUGUACCGAUAAAUCUUUCCACCCACGGUCAUGCAACCGAAGGUCAUAUCCGGUAUUAGACCCAGUUUCCCAGGCUUAUCCCGAAGUACAGGGCAGAUCACCCACGUGUUACUCACCCGUUCGCCGCUCGUGUACCCCGAAGGGCCUUACCGCUCGACUUGCAUGUGUUAAGCACGCCGCCAGCGUUCGUCCUGAGCCAGGAUCAAACUCU